rnacentral:rRNA from 1 species
AGUGAACGCUGGCGGUAGGCCUAACACAUGCAAGUCGAACGGCAGCACAGUAAGAGCUUGCUCUUACGGGUGGCGAGUGGCGGACGGGUGAGGAAUACAUCGGAAUCUACUUUUUCGUGGGGGAUAACGUAGGGAAACUUACGCUAAUACCGCAUACGACCUACGGGUGAAAGCAGGGGAUCUUCGGACCUUGCGCGAUUGAAUGAGCCGAUGUCGGAUUAGCUAGUUGGCGGGGUAAAGGCCCACCAAGGCGACGAUCCGUAGCUGGUCUGAGAGGAUGAUCAGCCACACUGUAACUGAGACACGGGCCAGACUCCGACGGGAGGCAGCAGUGGGGAAUAUUGGAAAAUGGGCGCAAGCCUGAUCCAGCCAUACCGCGUGGGUGAAGAAGGCCUUCGGGUGGUAAAGCCCUUUUGUUGGGAAAGAAAAGCAGCAGGUUAAUACCCCGCUGUUCUGACGGUACCCAAAGAAUAAGCACCGGCUAACUUCGC